rnacentral:siRNA from 1 species
UAUUUGCUAGGGUUUUGCAUC